rnacentral:rRNA from 1 species
UACGGGGGGGGCAAGCGUUGUUCGGAAUUACUGGGCGUAAAGCGCACGUAGGCGGAUUUGUAAGUCAGGGGUGAAAUCCCGAGGCUCAACCUGGAACUGCCUUUGAUACUGCAAAUCUCGAGUCCGGAAGAGGUGAGUGGAAUUCCUAGUGUAGAGGUGAAAUUCGUAGAUAUUAGGAAGAACACCAGUGGCGAAGGCGGCUCACUGGUCCGGUAGUGACGCUGAGGUGCGAAAGCGUGGGGAGCAAACAGG